rnacentral:rRNA from 1 species
UACGGGGGGGGCAAGCGUUGUUCGGAAUUACUGGGCGUAAAGGGCUCGUAGGCGGCCAACUAAGUCCGACGUGAAAUCCCCAGGCUUAACCUGGGAACUGCGUCGGAUACUGGAUGGCUUGAAUUCGGGAGAGGGAUGCAGAAUUCCAGGUGUAGCGGUGAAAUGCGUAGAUAUCUGGAGGAACACCGGUGGCGAAGGCGGCAUCCUGGACCGACACUGACGCUGAGGCGCGAAAGCUAGGGGAGCAAACGGG